rnacentral:rRNA from 1 species
UACGUAGGGCGCAAGCGUUAUCCGGAAUUAUUGGGCGUAAAGAGCUCGUAGGCGGUUUGUCGCGUCUGCCGUGAAAGUCCGGGGCUCAACUCCGGAUCUGCGGUGGGUACGGGGCAGACUAGAGUGAUGUAGGGGAGACUGGAAUUCCUGGUGUAGCGGUGAAAUGCGCAGAUAAUCAGGAGGAACACCGAUGGCGAAGGCAGGUCUCUGGGCAUUAACUGACGCUGGAGGAGCGAAAGCAUGGGGAGCGAACAGG